GGCGAGUGAAGCGGCAACAGCUCAAAUUUGAAAUCUGGCCCCUAGGGUCCGAGUUGUAAUUUGUAGAGGAUGCUUUUGGUGAGGUGCCGCCCGAGUUCCCUGGAACGGGACGCCGCAGAGGGUGAGAGCCCCGUCUGGCUGGCCACCGAGCCUCUGUAAAGCUCCUUCGACGAGUCGAGUAGUUUGGGAAUGCUGCUCAAAAUGGGAGGUAUAUGUCUUCUAAAGCUAAAUAUUGGCCAGAGACCGAUAGCGCACAAGUAGAGUGAUCGAAAGAUGAAAAGCACCUUGAAAAGAGGGUUAAACAGUACGUGAAAUUGUUGAAAGGGAAGCGCUUGUGACCAGACUUGGGCGCGGCGGAUCAUCCGGGGUUCUCCCCGGUGCACUUCGCCGUGUUCAGGCCAGCAUCAGUUCGGCGCGGGGGAAAAAGGCUUCGGGAACGUGGCUCCUCCGGGAGUGUUAUAGCCCGUUGCAUAAUACCCUGCGCUGGACUGAGGACCGCGCAUCUGCAAGGAUGCUGGCGUAAUGGUCACCAGCGACCCGUCUUGAAACACGGACCAAGGAGUCGUCUUCGUAUGCGAGU
rnacentral:rRNA from 1 species